GACGAAGGGGGCUAGCGUUGUUCGGAAUUACUGGGCGUAAAGCGCGUGUAGGCGGGUCGUUAAGUACCUUGUGAAAUCCCACGGCUCACCCGUGGAACUGCUGGGUAUACUGGCGAUCUUGGGCCAUUUAGGGGCAACUGGAACAAGCGGUGGAGCGGUGAAAUGCGUAGAUAUCGCUUGGAACGCCAAAGGUGAAAACAGGUUGCUGGGAAUGUGCCGACGCUGAGACACGAAAGCCAGGGGAGCAAACGGG
rnacentral:rRNA from 1 species